AUUAACCAAGAAAAUUAGAGAGAGAGACACGUAGAAUAAAAGAUGAGUCAGACUUCCUCUUCAUCUUCAUCCGAUUCUUCCUACACUUCACUCCUCUUCUCCAAACUCCUUUCUCUCUCUCGCUCUCUCUCAUCAUCUCUCUCUUUCUCUCUCGCCCGCUCUCUCUUCCUCUCUCUCUCGAUCCUUGGCUGAAAUCAUGGAAGUUAAUUGAAGAAAAAAAAGUCGGAUUUAUAGUGGUGGUGGUCUCCAGCAGCAGUCGCCGGCGGUGGUGGCUGGAAUCCGACAAAGAAGACGAGCUGUCCAGAAUUUCAAUUUCAGAGUUUUGCCUUUUCCGUAAAUCAAUUAAACGGAGGUCUUAAAGAUGGAGCAUCGAUGAUCCGAAGGUACCGUUCGAAACCUUAAUAAGUUAGAUUUCCAGUGGUGGUGGUUCUUGAUUGUUUACAUCAGCGGUGGUCAUCAGAAUUGGCUAGAACUUCAGCUCGCUCGUUGAAACGAAGGGAAGCAAAUUCUGCUGCCGCACCUGUUUUCGGAGCCGAAAUCGAAGGGUUUCGAAUGCGAAUUUGGAAUCGGUUCCUUCAGGAAACUCGUAGAGGACAUCGUAAACUAUAAGUGUUGAGCGUAGUAAAGCUCUCACUCAAGGUUUAAGCUUAAAGAUGCUUCUAUAGCACUUCUAUAACACUAGCGUUGGACUCCAGGUAAAAGAAAGACUUAGAUCUAAAUUUUCAUACUAAGAGUUAAAGCUCGUGUAUGCCUCCGAUUAGUCUCGUCGAGAGGCAUCUCUAUUUAUGUUCCGUAUAGGAAUCCUUUGAUCGAGAAUUUUGUAAUAGAGUAAGUGGUGUCGAAGUCGACUUGUAAUAGAACCUCCUUUUGUAAACACGAUGGGAUAGAUAUUGCGGUUUAACAUUUCGACCGUCAAAAUUUUGAGGAGCAUAUUUGGGGUCAUUGAAUGUACUGCAUGUUGAGUGGUGUCCCGCCACGAGGUGCCCGCUACUCGGGGCGGGGCGCUAC